UACGAGGGGGGCUAGUGUUGUUCGGAAUCACUGGGCGUAAAGGGAGCGUAGGCGGGAGCCUAAGUUGGGUGUUUAAUCCCGGGGCCCAACCCCGGACAGGCACUUGAAACUGGGAAUCUUGAAUAGUGGAGAGGUCGGUGGAAUUGGGGGUGUAGCGGUGGAAUGCGUAGAGAUCCCCAAGAACACCCGUUGCGAAGGCGGCCGACUGGACACAUAUUGACGCUGAGGCUCAAAAGCAUGGGGAGCAAACAGG
rnacentral:rRNA from 1 species